UUGGUGAGGUAAUGGCUUACCAAGGCUAUGAUCUAUAGCUGGUCUGAGAGGACGAUCAGCCACCCUGGAACUGAGAUACGGUCCAGACUCCUACGGGAGGCAGCAGUGGGGAAUAUUGGACAAUGGGCGAAAGCCUGAUCCAGCUAUGCCGCGUGAGUGAAGAAGGCCUUCGGGUUGUAAAACUCUUUCAAUAGGGAAGAUAAUGACGGUACCUAUAGAAGAAGUCCCGGCAAACUCUGUGCCAGCAGCCGCGGUAAUACGGAGGGGGCAAGCGUUGUUCGGAAUUAUUGGGCGUAAAGGGCACGUAGGUGGACUAGUAAGUUAAAAGUGAAAUACCAAAGCUUAACUUUGGAGCGGCUUUUAAUACUGCUAGAC
rnacentral:rRNA from 1 species